rnacentral:rRNA from 1 species
GCCUGGCCCUAAAUCUUGAUGCUUUAUCCUACUUAAGCAUCCGCCCGAGAACUACGAGCACAAACGCUUAAAACUCUAAGGACUUGGCGGUGCUCCAAACCCACCUAGAGGAGCCUGUUCUAUAAUCGAUGAUCCACGAUAUACCUAACCAUUCCUCGCAAGAUCAGCCUAUAUACCGCCGUCGCCAGCCCACCCCCCCUGAAGGUUCAACAGUGAGCGCAAUAGUCCCUACCACUAGUAAGACAGGUCAAGGUAUAGCCUAUGGAAUGGAAGCAAUGGGCUACAUUUUCUAAAUUAGAACAUUACGGCAAAAGGGUGUGAAAUCGCCCUUAGAAGGCGGAUUUAGCAGUAAAGUGGGAUAAUCAAGCCCUCUUUAAGCCGGCUCUGGAGCACGU